UACGUAGGGUGCGAGCGUUAAUCGGAAUUACUGGGCGUAAAGCGUGCGCAGGCGGUUUUGUAAGCCAGAUGUGAAAUCCCCGGGCUCAACCUGGGAAUGGCAUUUGGGACUGCAAGGCUGGAGUACGGCAGAGGAGACUGGAAUUCCUGGUGUAGCAGUGAAAUGCGUAGAUAUCAGGAGGAAUACCGAUGGCGAAGGCAGGUCUCUGGGCUGAUACUGACGCUCAUGCACGAAAGCGUGGGGAGCGA
rnacentral:rRNA from 1 species